rnacentral:misc_RNA from 1 species
UUUGGGUUCAAAAUACACAAACCAUGACAGUGGAAGUUCAAGCUUCUUUGGUAAAGAAGAGUUGGCAAAGGUAAAAGUCACGUAGGAUGCCCUAAAUCUGCCCCUGCCUUCACUCCAGAAGAACCAGAAAAUAAUGGGGAAAACUUGUUCUUAAUAUGUUCAAGCAAAUAUCAUAAAGAAAUUAUGCAAUCAUGUCAGGUAAUUAGUCCUCAUAUAUUAGUUGCCUAAGUAGCUAGCUUCUUUUCGUUUCAAUUUUCCGAGUUGCAAAUUUUCAAUUUACUUUUUCUUCGUAGAGUAAUUUGAAACUAAUGAAUUUUAUGUUUAGAGGUUUGAUAUUUUGUUGUUACCUGAGCACUUGAA